GACGAACGCUGGCGGCGUGCCUAAUACAUGCAAGUAGGACGCAGUUGCGAAAGGGAGAGUAACGCGUAGGUAACUACCUAUUAGAGGGGGAUAAAUAUUGGAAACGAUAGCUAAUAACGCAUACUAGUAGAUGGACCUGCGUUGUAUUAGCUAGUAGGUAGGGUAAUGGCCUACCUAGGCAACGAUACAUAACCGGCCUGGGAGGGUGAACGGGCAACAUGGGACCGGAAAACGGGCCCGACUCCUUAGGGGAGGAGCAGGAGGGGAUCAUCGGCAAUUGGGGGAACCCUGACCUAGCAACGGCGCGGUAUUGAAGAAGGUUUUCGGGGUGUAAAGCUCUGUUCUUAAGGAAGCGGUACUUAACCAGAAAGCGACGGCUAACUACGUGCCAGCAGCCGCGGUAAUUC
rnacentral:rRNA from 1 species